UACGUAGGCAGCAAGCGUUGUUCGGAGUUACUGGGCGUAAAGGGUGUGUAGGCGGUUAUUUAAGUUUGGUGUGAAAUCUCCCGGCUCAACCGGGAGGGUGCGCCGAAUACUGAAUGACUUGGAGUGCGGGAGAGGAAAGUGGAAUUCCUGGUGUAGCGGUGAAAUGCGUAGAUAUCAGGAGGAACACCGGUGGUGUAGACGGCUUUCUGGACCGUAACUGACGCUGAGACACGAAAUCGUGGGUAGCAAACAGG
rnacentral:rRNA from 1 species